GACGAACGCUGGCGGCGUGCUUAACACAUGCAAGUCGAACGGAAAGGCCUGCUUUCCCUUGUGGAUUGCGGGUACUCGAGUGGCGAACGGGUGAGUAACACGUGAGUGAUCUGCCCCCAACUUGGGUAUAAGCCUGGGAAACUGGGUCUAAUUCCCGAUAGGACUGCAGGGUGGUGCCUGUGGUGGAAAACGAUUUUCUAGUGGUUGGGGAUGAGCUCGCGGCCUAUCAGCUUGUUGGUGGGGUAAUGGCCUACCAAGGCGGCGACGGGUAGCCGGCCUGAGAGGGUGGACGGCCACAUUGAGACUGAGAUACGGCCCAGACUCCUACGGGAGGCAGCAGUGGGGAAUAUUGCACAAUGGGCGGAAGCCUGAUGCAGCGACGCAGCGUGGGGGAUGACGGCCUUCGGGUUGUAAACUCCUUUCGACCGCGAGGAAGCCACCUGGUUGGAAGGGUGGUGACGGUAGUGGUAGAAGAAGCACCGGCUAACUACGUG
rnacentral:rRNA from 1 species